CUUCUCUCGCUCGGCACUCUCUCUUCGCUAACUCUCUCCAACCAAUCACAACACAAAACCCGAGAUUACUGCAAACAUUCGGUAAAACAUUAAUUGGCGCCAAAAUUUCUCUUUUUCAAUCGCUCCAAUUCCCAAAUCCUAGGGUUUUCAUACACAACAUUUUUUCAACUUCCAAAUUCUCAAACUUCAAGACCCGCUAACUCGACAUCGAUCUCCGUUACUUUCAAUGGCGAAUUCUCGCCCUUCUAAGCGCCACAAAAUUAACAGGGGGGAGGAUGAUUAUAUGCCUGGAAACAUUUUAGAGAUCGAACUUCAUAAUUUCAUGACAUUUGAUUACUUAAAAUGUAAACCCGGGCCUCGGUUGAAUCUCGUAAUUGGGCCAAAUGGUUCUGGAAAGAGUUCUCUUGUAUGUGCUAUUGCUCUUGGCCUCUGCGGAGAGCCCCAGUUGCUUGGGCGAGCCACAAGUAUUCAGGCAUUUGUGAAGCGGGGAGAAGAUUCUGGGCACAUUAAGAUUACCUUGAGGGGGGACCAUAAAGAGGAGCAAAUUACAAUUAUGCGUAAAAUAAACACUAGCAACAAGUCGGAAUGGGUUUUAAAUGGAAAUAUUGUGCCCAAAAAGGAUGUGGCUGAAACCAUUCAGAGGUUUAACAUCCAAGUAAAUAAUUUGACUCAAUUUUUACCGCAAGACAGGGUCUGUGAGUUUGCAAAGUUAACUCCUGUGCAACUUCUGGAAGAGACAGAAAAAGCUGUUGGUGAUCCACAACUUCCAGAGCAACAUCGUGCACUUAUUGACAAAAGUCGUGCACUGAAGCAUGUUGAGCUGUCUCUGGAGAAAAAUGAAGGAACUUUAAACCAGUUGAAGGAACGUAAUGCUGAGUUAGAGAAGGAUGUUGAACGUGUUCGUCAAAGAGAUGAACUUCUGGCCAAGGCCGAAUCAAUGAAAAAGAAAUUGCCAUGGCUGAGGUAUGAUAUGAAGCAGGCUGAAUAUCGUGAAGCUAAGGAGCGUGAGAAGGCUGCAGCAAAGGAGCUUGAGAAGGUGGCAAAAUUAUUAAAUGAACUUAAAGAACCUAUUAAGAAACAAAAAGAGGAGAAAGCUGCAUUAGAUGCAAAAUGCAAAAAGGCUAACAACCGAAUAAGUGACAAUGCCAAGAAGAGAAUGGAACUUAUGGAGAAAGAGAAUCAAUUGGAGGUGGAAUUACAAGGGAAGUACAAAGAGAUGGACGAGUUGAGGAAGCAGGAAGAAAAUCGGCAACAGAAAUUAAAACAAGCUAGGGAGGAACUUGCAGCUGCUGAACUUGAACUUGAGAAUCUAAACCCUUAUGAACCUCCCAAGGAUGAGAUUCAUAGACUGAGAGAGGGAAUUGUGGAGUUGGAUUAUUCUGCUAACCAAGCGAGACAGAAUAAGUCACAAGCAGAAAGCGAAAUAAAGCAUAAAAAGUUCUCCUUAAUUAAGUGUAAAGAGAGGUUGAUGGAAAUGAAUAAUAAAAGUACCAAGUGUUUGCAUGCACUGCGGAAAUCUGGGGUUGAAAGAAUUUUCGAUGCUUAUAAAUGGGUCCAAGAGCAUCGCGAUGAAUUCCACAAGGAGGUUUAUGGCCCAGUUUUAGUUGAGGUGAAUGUCUCAGAUCAAUCUCAUGCUGGAUAUCUAGAGGGUCAAGUUGCUUGGUACACUUGGAAGUCUUUCAUAACACAGGAUCCCCGCGAUCGGGACUUCUUGGUGAACAACCUACGGAACUACGAUGUACCAGUUUUAAAUUAUACUGGUCAUGAUAGCCGAAGAGAGCCGCCUCCUGAAAUAUCUGCCGAUAUGCGUGCUCUUGGUAUCAACUCUCGUUUGGACCAAAUUUUUGAUGCUCCUGUUGCUGUCAAGGAGGUGUUGAUUAGCCAAUCUAAUCUUGAUCAUUCGUUUAUUGGAUCGAAAGAAACUGAUCAGAAAGCUGAUGGGGUACCAAAAUUGGGAAUUACUAGCUUAUGGACACCAGAAAAUCACUAUCACUGGUCUAAGUCUAGAUAUGGAAAUCAUGUCUCAGCAGUUGUUGAACAAGUGCAACGCCCUCAACUUCUACUGAAUAAUUUAAAUGUGAGGGACAUUGAGGAUCUGAGCUCCGAGGAAAGGGAGCUUCAUGAACAUAUUGCUUCCUUGGAGGAAAGUCUUAAAAAGUUUCAAGACGAGGAAAGAAGCUUUGUGAAUCAGGCUGCUAAUCUUCGUAAGCAGUUGGAGAACAUUCGUUUAGAAGCACAAAAUAAGCAAAAAGAGCGACAAGCAAUUGUUAGGCGUACUGAACAAAAGAAAAGCAAACUGAAAUCGAUGGAGGAGCAAGAUGAUUUGGAUACUGAGUUAGCAAAGCUUGUUGAUCAGGCAACAAAGUGUAACAUUCAACGAUUACAUAAUGCAAUUAAAAUUAAGGAUCUUCUUGUUGAAGCCGCGGGUUACAGACGAAGUUUUGCUGAACAACGCAUGGCUUUCAUUGAAUUUGAUGCAAAGAUUGGAGAAGCGGAGGCCAGUCUGAAGCAGCAUGAAAAUAUUGCUCUGCAGGCAUCAUCACACUUUAAUAACUCUAAGAAAGAGGCUGAAGAAUGUAGACAGAAGCUUACAGAUUUAUUAAACUAUGCUAAGUCAAUUGCCCGGCUUACACCCGACCUAGAGAAGGAGUUUCUUGAGAUGCCUACUACAAUUGAGGAGUUGGAAGCAGCUAUCCAAGAUACAACUUCUCAAGCCAAUUCAAUCCUUUUUGUCAAUAAUAACAUAUUGGAACAAUAUGAGGCUCGUCAGAGACAGAUAGAAGAUCUUGCAAAAAAACUUGAUGCUGACAAGAAGGAAUCUACAAGGUGUCUAGCUGAAUUGGAUAACAUUAAGGGAAAAUGGCUCCCUACAUUGAGAAACCUCGUGGCCCAGAUAAAUGAAACUUUUAGUCAAAAUUUUCAACAGAUGGCUGUUGCUGGAGAAGUUUCACUAGAUGAGCAUGAUAUGGACUUUGAUCAAUUCGGAAUACAUAUAAAAGUCAAAUUCAGAGAAAGUGGACAGCUUGAAGUUCUCAGCGCCCAUCAUCAAUCUGGAGGGGAACGAUCAGUUUCAACUAUUGUUUAUCUUGUUUCACUUCAAGAUCUUACAAACUGCCCAUUUAGAGUUGUUGAUGAGAUCAAUCAAGGAAUGGAUCCAAUAAAUGAAAGGAAGAUGUUUCAGCAACUAGUGAGAGCAGCAAGCAAGCCAAAUACACCACAGUGUUUCUUACUUACCCCAAAGUUGUUACCAGAUCUGCAAUAUAGUGAGGCAUGCAGUAUAUUGAAUGUAAUGAAUGGUCCUUGGAUUGAGCAACCCUCAAAGGUCUGGACCGCUGGUGAUCGAUGGAGUAUUAUCACUGGACAUGUUGGAGAGGCAGUUUGUUAAAGUAAAACAAACACUAUGGAGUUAAUUUGCAUUUUGUAUAGUUUUAUGGAGAAAGAAAUCGAAGUUUGUGAUUGAGUGAACUUGCUUUUGUUUCAUUGAUGGGAUUGGAUAUAUACCUAACAAGAGUCUCCAGAAAUGCAAGUUUAAAAGACACCACUUUCUCAGAGACGUGCUUGGCAUUGGAAAGAAGAGAACUUUUUGGGAUAAAAUGUAAUAAUGAUGCAUAUUGCCAGUCUGUCUCUGAUUGUGAUAUUCAUAAGGGAGAACAAUCACAUUGUAUUGAUGGGAAGUGUUGGUGUUUUUUGCCACCAUCUUCCGCUAAUAAACAUACAUAGCUAGUUUAAUACCCUAUAUUGCAAGUAUUGAAUGUUGUUAUGAAAUUUUCAUGUAUGAAAAAAAUAAUAUGCAUAAAUUGCAAAUUUAGUGGUGUUGAUCUUU